rnacentral:rRNA from 1 species
UACGUAGGGUGCGAGCGUUAAUCGGAAUUACUGGGCGUAAAGAGCGCGCAGGCGGUCGUCCAAGUCGCGUGUGAAAGCCCCCGGCUCAACUGGGGAGGGUCACGCGAUACUGGUCGACUCGAAGGCAGGAGAGGGUAGUGGAAUUCCCGGUGUAGUGGUGAAAUGCGUAGAUAUCUGGAGGAACACCGAUGGCGAAGGCAGCCUUCUGGGCCAACACUGACGCUCAUGCACGAAAGCGUGGGGAGCAAACAGG